GGCUCGCAGGGGCUGAACGCACUCAGCUUCCUGGGGACUCCCCGACCCAAGCCAUGCAGUUCGCGCGCGUCGGGGGUGUGCGCUGGCAGCCGGAAAGUCGAAUAUCACUUCCUAUCCUGCAUCUGACGUGCUUUGGGGUUGAAAAAGCCCUUAUGUGGUAAAAAAUGUCAGAAAAGUGGCAAAAGUCUUCAAGGGCCUGAAAAUGGCCGAGACCGGAACUGAGAAGCUGGCAGUAGGUCCUGCUACUGCUGUAGGGGCGGCGGGCGCCCUGGGUGGGCCACGCGGCAGGGACAGCCGAGGCUCCGCGCCCACCCCACCCGCAAGGGGCCAAGCGCAGACUCAGGGGAGCCAGAGGGGCCGGACCCCUGAGCGAGGACUGGGGAAGGAUCCCAAGCUUGGAUACUUGGAAAUGAAGAUGUGAUAUUUCACCCACCGACUCGUUCCGCAUGACCAAGGCCUGUGCCUGCCCUGAGGGCGAGUUGGUUGAGCCUUGUACGGACAACUCUCAGAGCGUGGGCCUGGGCCGAACCUUUCCCUGUGAGUAGCAGCAUCAGCGUCUAGAACGACGGCCCUCCCCGUCCACGGUGGAAGAUGCGGAGCUCCCGUGGUGUGCUGGCAGCCGUUCGCAGAAGGGAGAUGGAGGGACACAGGGCAGAUCCUCGCACGGAGUCAUCGAGGUCCGGGGACACCUUCCUCCCAGAAAUCCCAACAGGAGCAGCUGGAGCUAGUAAAGAAACCCCAGAGUCCUGUGCUGCUGCCCUUGCCUCCUCCAACUGGUGAGCCCAAUCGGCCCAUUUUUAGGCAGUGCUGUGUUUGGAAAUGGGCCCUUCCUCUGGGGUCCGCUGCUUCCCUCUGCCUGACUCAGAAGAAUGAGUCAAGAGGGAAGAACAGCUCGUAUUAGGGAGAGGGUCCCUUGUGCUGUUGCCUUUUUCUGAAUCAUUUCAAUCAUGUUUGCCAAAUUCCUUACAAAGUUCUGUUCCCUCGUUUGACAAUGAGCAGAGGCAGGAGAGAUGAAUUGCUAAAUGGUUGUAUCCCACACCGUGCUGGAAGGCUCAGCAGAACAGAGACCUGUGUCAAGCAGGGCUUCCUUCUCCACCAGGCCCUUCAGCCUGCAUUUUAACCUGUGACUUGCGAGGAGAUAGCCCAUGAUCACACCACAGGCCUGCUUACAUUACAGGAGGCAAAAUGCCAAUUCCUUCUACCCCUUUCCCCCCGGUAGAAACCCUGCUAGUUCUUUUUAAAAAAGGGAGAGAGAUCAUGUAUAGAAAACCUUUUUUACAAUUUAUUUCCUGUUGUUAAUCUUUAAAAAUGAGGUUCUAGCUAAGUGCAGGGUUUCAGUGAUGAAAUUUUGACCAUGUGAACACAUAAAUAAAUAUUUACAGUCUUUGGCAAAACACAUGACGUUUCAUCAACCUAUACGAUAAAUUUGUUUAGAAAAACAUAAAUAAUUUACAAAAAAUAUGGUACAUUCUAAAUAUUCACAUCAUCAUCAUUCCCACACCGUUGUACGGUUGACCCCACAACACGGAAACAGAAAAACCUGCACGCUGUUGACAGUCGCUACAUUUAAUGAAGUCUCCCAACACUUCGUUGGUCUUGGGAAUACAGCUCCACACAAAAAAGUAAAAAGUGCAGCAAAACAACAACACAACGAUCAACCUCAAAGGAAACAAAAAUAAUUUUAUCAAAAUGCAAUGUGUACAUUAAGACUAAAGUUAUGGAUCGUUCCUAUUUGGCAUAGAAAUGUGAUGACUAUUAACAGAAAGGGGAAAAAGAUUUGCCCCCUAUCAGACAGACAGACUUCUCUUACUAAACCCCUUAUGUGGAGUGAGAUGAGCGACUAUUUCCUGCAGAAAGAUCAUGCAACUUAAAGCAAAAAAACAAACCAACAAAAAAACAAAAACAAAAACAAACUUGUGCAUAUUACACAUGACUGAUUAUUGGGUGUGCCUGGCAAGACUAAAUACUGAUUCGUUUUCAGCGUUUGAAUUAAAAGAAUUCCAUAUACAGCAGAUAGAUAACAGUAACAAAUAUUGAACUAAAAUCGCUGGCAACAUUAUAUAUUAAGGUUCCAUCAUAAACUCCUCAUUAUUCUCUAUGUAUUCUGUUACAGCUUCUAGCAUGCUUCCUCAUGACAACUUAAUAUUAUAAAGCCUCAUAUUUUCACAGGAUUAUAUACUUGUUAGAUGUUUGUUUCUAGAAAUUAUACUACAUAUGUGUUACUAGGCAUAUUUAAAAUAAGUUAUUGGUAAAUGGAGCUGCAUUCUAUAUUCAUUUAAUAAAUAUUAACAAAACAUUUAUAACUGGAACCUUAAUGAAAUGUAUUAUCAAAUCAGGUAAAAGCAACUUGUCUGCAGUUACCAAAGCCUAGAUACGAGUUAGAUGCGCCUUUUCCGGCCUGUGCGUCUGCUCUGACUCCUCUCAGGCAGCAAAGCUGGGGAAGGAAGCUCAGGCAGGAGCCUCCCCGACGCCACAGUGGCACAAGCAGCAGCUGAAGCACAGCACUUUGCUCUGCUAACCUUUUACUUAAAUGAGGUUUUGCCAAAUCCACAUCUGGAACCGCGUCACACCCAUUUUGCAAGGAUGUUUGUUCUUUGAUGAAACUGCAUCUCUACUGCACAUGAGGGCUUUCAUUGUAGGACAAGAGGAGAGUUUGUUUAUUUUUGUAACUGUUUGUUUGACAUGUUCCAAUUAGUUAAUCGGUAGCUUAUGUCAUUUGCUAUGCCUGUCUUCUAAUCUCUCCUUACUAAAACAUUACUUCAAAUUUGAAUUGAACCUUCUUUACAAUUUAUUUAAUGGGAUUUGUGUGUCAUUGUAGAGCAACUCUAAUUCAAGAAUAGUGACAACUUUAAGCACCAAAAGUAGUUCAGCAAUAUUUUUCAUGCUUAAUUUAUCAUAAUGGCUUAUGCACAAUAUUCCUUUCAACUCCAUAUACACAUAAAUACAAUAAGUAAUUACAUUUUAUAUGUAAACGUCAUUCUUUUUAAACAAACAAGAAAAAGCAGUGUAAUGGCAUGCCCAAUUUUCACUCCACUUAAAGUCUCAUAUAUCACCAAACUGGUUUCCUCUAGUGGGUUAGAUGUUCAUCUCUGAGUUCCAUUGAAAUUUAUCCUCUGAAGGCACUUGGGUUUGGGGUUGCUGGCAGGAGGUGAAGAACCAUGAAUUAAGGUCAAGGGACAGGAGGUGCUGCUGGAGAGAGAAGCCGCAAGGACCACAAUGAACUGAGGUGUCUAGGGACCAUGGCAUGCACAGGGCAUUGCCAGAAAUGCAGCAAAUCUUGUUUAAAUAUCUACAAAAAGAAAAAAAAGCGAUAAACAGAAUUAGCAUAACUGGGCCAUGGGUAGUGUUUUAUUUUGUUUUACCUAGAACCUGAAAUACAAUUACUUUAAUUAAAGAUGAGA